UGAGUUGCGAACGGGUGAGUAACGCGUAGGUAACCUGCCUGGUAGGGGGGGAUAACUAUUGGAAACGACUGCUAAUACCGCAUAAGCCCACGACCCGGCAUCGGGAAGAGGGAAAAGGAGCAAUCCGCUUUGAGAUGGCCUCGCGUCCGAUUAGCUAGUUGGUGAGGUAACGGCCCACCAAGGCAACGAUCGGUAGCCGGACUGAGAGGUUGAACGGCCACAUUGGGACUGAGACACGGCCCAG
rnacentral:rRNA from 1 species